rnacentral:rRNA from 1 species
UACGAAGGGAGCUAGCGUUGUUCGGAAUCACUGGGCGUAAAGCGCACGUAGGCGGAUUUGUCAGUCAGGGGUGAAAUCCCGGGGCUCAACCUCGGAACUGCCUUUGAUACAGCAAGUCUUGAGUUCGAGAGAGGUGGGUGGAAUUCCUAGUGUAGAGGUGAAAUUCGUAGAUAUUAGGAAGAACACCGGUGGCGAAGGCGGCCCACUGGCUCGAUACUGACGCUGAGGUGCGAAAGCGAUGGGGAG